rnacentral:rRNA from 1 species
UACGUAGGGCGCAAGCGUUGUCCGGAAUUAUUGGGCGUAAAGAGCUCGUAGGCGGUUUGUCGCGUCUGCUGUGAAAACCUAAGGCUCAACCUUGGGCUUGCAGUGGGUACGGGCAGACUAGAGUGCGGUAGGGGGUGACUGGAAUUCCUGGUGUAGCGGUGGAAUGCGCAGAUAUCAGGAGGAACACCGAUGGCGAAGGCAGGGUCAC